ACGGUGAGUAACACGUAUCCAACCUGCCGUCUACUCUUGGACAGCCUUCUGAAAGGAAGAUUAAUCCAGGAUGGCAUCAUGAGUUCACAUGUCCGCAUGAUUAAAGGUAUUUUCCGGUAGACGAUGGGGAUGCGUUCCAUUAGAUAGUAGGCGGGGUAACGGCCCACCUAGUCAACGAUGGAUAGGGGUUCUGAGAGGAAGGUCCCCCACAUUGGAACUGAGACACGGUCCAA
rnacentral:rRNA from 1 species